GUGAUACAGUUUCCCACUCAUUCGGUGAUGGCUUCUCCUCGUCGAUGUCAUCCACGCUAGGCUUGGGCCGUUUGUUAGUCGUCGCGACACUUUGAACGGUUUCGGUUGUAAUUUCUCUCGCGCUCUCGCUUGCAGCAACCAAAGCAAGAAAAGGAAAAUCGUGCAAAUCACAAUAUUCGGGGAAAAUAUUUGGUGGGACCAAUUUUGUUGAGGUGAUUUUUCAUCCGGAAAAUAAGUGUUUUCUUUCUGGGGUUAUUUGACAGUGACGCAGUGCUUCUUGAGAAGAAGUGCCCUUAUAGUUGGGGAAGAAAUGUUUUAAGAAGAAGAGGAGCAAAUCUAUUUAUAAAACAAUUUCCAAUUUGUGUGAGAGUUUCCACGCGCUUUUCUCCGCACUCUGCGCCUUCGUUCCGCUCCGGGUUUUGUGCUGUUUUGUUGAUGUUGUUGAGCUGCUGCUGCUGAAUUGCCGUUUUCGAAUGUCAUUGAUGAUGCCGCCACGGCACUGUUUCGGGAGAGAGAAAUAUAUGGAAAUCAGUCUGGAUGGCAAAACAUGAUAUCAAAAACGAUAUGAGUCGUCUUGUGGGCAUAAUGCCAAGAUUCGGUGGACGAUUUGGGGAAAGAAUUCAUACUUUUGUGCUAAAAUUUUCACGGCUUAGGUUGUUUAUACAAUAUUCAUACUAAUUUUACAUUACAAAAU